GAUAAGAACGUAGCGAAAUGCGAUAAGUAAUGUGAAUUGCAGAAUUCAGUGAAUCAUCGAAUCUUUGAACGCACAUUGCGCCCAUUAGUAUUCUAGUGGGCAUGCCUGUUCGAGCGUCAUUUCAACCCUUAAGCCUAGCUUAGUAUUGGGAAUCGACUUUACUGUCGUUCCUCAAAUUCAACGGCGGAUUUAUAGCAAUCUCUGAACGUAGUAAUUUUUUUCCUCGUUUUUGAAAUACUAUAAACCUCAGCCGCUAAACCCCCAAUUUUUUUAUGGUUGACCUCGGAUCAGGUAGGAAUACCCGCUGAACUUAAGCAUAUCAAUAAGCGGAGGA
rnacentral:misc_RNA from 1 species